UGCCAGCAGCCGCGGUAAUACGGAGGGGGCUAGCGUUGUUCGGAAUUACUGGGCGUAAAGGGCGCGUAGGCGGAUUAGUAAGUUGGGAGUGAAAGCCCGGGGCUCAACCUCGGAACUGCUUUCAAAACUGCUAGUCUUGAGUGAAGUAGGGGGUGAUGGAAUUCCUAGUGUAGAGGUGAAAUUCUUAGAUAUUAGGAGGAACACCGGUGGCGAAGGCGGUCACCUGGACUUCAACUGACGCUGAGGAGCGAAAGCUAGGGGAGCAAACAGGAUUAGAUA
rnacentral:rRNA from 1 species